UACCAGACUCCUACGGGAGGCAGCAGUGGGGAAUAUUGGGCAAUGGGCGCAAGCCUGACCCAGCAACGCCGCGUGAAGGAAGAAGGCUUUCGGGUUGUAAACUUCUUUUAAGAGGGAAGAGCAGAAGACGGUACCUCUUGAAUAAGCUCCGGCUAACUACGUGCCAGCAGCCGCGGUAAUACGUAGGGAGCGAGCGUUGUCCGGAUUUACUGGGUGUAAAGGGCGCGCAGCCGGGAGUACAAGUCAGAUGUGAAAUCCCGCGGCUCAACCGCGGAACUGCAUUUGAAACUGUAUUUCUUGAGUACUGGAGAGGCAGACGGAAUUCCUAGUGUAGCGGUGAAAUGCGGAGAUAUUAGGAGGAACACCAGUGGCGAGGGCGGUCUGCUGGACAGCAACUGACGGUGAGGCGCGAAAGCGUGGGGAGCAAACAGGAUUAGAUACCCGGGUA
rnacentral:rRNA from 1 species